AUGAGCACCUUGCAGCUGCUAGGAUUGGAAGAAGGAACAACAAUUGCCAACAAGGAGCAUGUGGUGACAAGAGGAACCUACCUGUCCUUUCUUCUCCUACGUCACCUGAGGCUCCGAGAGCUAAAGCGAGUAUGCCUGGGGAUCCUGAACUAUUUUAGGUCUGUGGAGAGAAGCCUGACCAUCAGUACCUCAGGCCUCUCCUUCAAGGCUGGUCAUCUAAUUCCCUGCGCAGAAGACACCUCCUGGGUCAAUGCUGCCAAAGGAGGCACUGGCGUUUCUGGUGGCUUAUGCUCUCAGCCCUAUAUUCACUACACGCCAGCUGACUACAAGGUGAGUGGUCAGCCUAGCCGUAAGCCUAGCGGACCUAGCUCUAAUUAGACAUCAAGGUUUGCAGACCUAGCCUUAAGUCUCCCAAAGCAUGUGCUUCAGUAGAAGUGUCUAAUCUCUCCUUCUACUUCCAUGCAAACUGUGUUGUGAUAAAUUGCUGAGUCACCUGAGGGAUUUUUGCUGAGUCACCUGAGGGAUUUGGUGUAACUUGCUCCUCAAAACCAUGUGUCUUGCGUUUAUGGACUUUGUACCUAUAUCUGCCAGCGGUCUGUAACAAACCCAUGAGACACUUCAGGCAUGCAAUACUUUAGUGUGAGUAACGCUGGCCAGAUAACCAUUAACUCAGACUAGCGCUGCUGACUCGCUUGAAGUAAGACCUUUAUGUGUGGGAUUUUCACACAGUAGAUGUUCCUGAGAAAUCUGAGGUAUUUUGUGAUCUAAGGAAACGAUUUAUUUAGAUGUAGGUACAGUUUAAGGUUUGUUUUGAACCUUAGAUGAGAGUAUGUGGUUGAACUGAUAAAAUUAGUACACUUACCUUCACAGACUGGAAAAAAAUCAUUUCAAUUAAAUUCCUAAGCUUUAUCAAGCUUUUGUUCCCCACCCUUUUUUUUGUAAAAUAUACCAAGCAGAAUGAACAUAUCAUGCUGGUAUUAGUGGUUUGAUGUGAUAAAAUGUCUUGUCUUUUGAACUGUAAAAUUUCUUUUAAUCUCUGCUACCUAAAACUCAGGUCAGAAUUCUCAUAUAAAAAUCCUAAAGAAACACUAUAGCACUUUACUUCUUCACCACUUUACUGAAGACUUGUUUGCUUGUUUUUGCUGUAGAAACGCAUAGAAACAAGCACAUUGCUACUUCAUGGAGGAAUUAUGGCUAUUACUGAAAAGGAAAUAGGUUUCCUGCCCACAUUUUUUCUAACAUUAGGACUUAAACAAACAAAAAAACCCACCCACCCUCAAAAAAACCUUCCUGUCUCUAAAUAUGACAAAAGUCUAAACCUCUUUAGAAAUAAAAUCUUUGGGGAGGAAAUGAAGUUGCUGAUA
rnacentral:lncRNA from 1 species